rnacentral:rRNA from 1 species
GUGCCAGCCGCCGCGGUAAUACCGGCAGCACGAGUGAUGGCCGCUCAAAUUGGGCCUAAAGCGUCCGUAGGGGGCCGAGCAAGUUCGUUGGGAAAUCUGCCCGCAAAACGGGCAGGCGUCCGGCGAAAACUGUCCGGCUUCCGGCCGGAAGACCUGAGGCCUACGUCCGGGGUAGGAGUGAAAUCCUGUAAUCCUGGACGGACCACCGGUGGCGAAGGCGCCUCAGGAAAACGGACCCGACGGUGAGGGACGAAAGCUAGGGUCUCGAACCGGAUUAGAAACCCCGGUAGUCC